GUUUUUUUUUUAGGCUUGGUGGAAACGGUAAAAUAGCAUUAUUGACACGUCAUUUUUGUCACACGUCAGAAAUUGUUAUUUUUGAGGUUAGAUCAAUACAACAAAAAUUGUAUUUAUUAAGAAAUCUAUGAAUUUCGUUCGUAUUAUAACAUUGUGAUGAUUAGCUGUAAAGUUUUGCUGCUUUUGGUUGUAAUCGACCAAGUUCUAAGUGAUGAAAAUAUUGCUUUAGUGCAGUACUCAAAUCCGUUUCACGUUGCUGAUUCCCUGAUAAUAUACCCAAAAAUACAGAACUAAAAAUGACUUCAACUGAAAAUUUAUCAGAUCAAGACAAAGACUUCUUGGCUAAAUGUGAAGAGGAAUUGAAAGACAGAUACACUGAUAAAGAUGAAGAAUUCAUGAAAGUAUUUAAUGCUGAACCCUCUAUUCCUCCCAUAAUUAAGUCCUGGUGGGUGCCUCAAAACUCGGGCCGAAGAAACGAUCGUCGUAAUAACAGGCGUCAUCAUCCGUACGAGCGACACAACAGGGACUAUGACCGACGGGAACAAAGUGACAGAAGAGAUAACUAUAACAGGAGAGACAACUAUGAGAGGAGAGAUAAUUAUGAACGGAGAGGAUACAAUGACUACGAUCGGGGAGGAUAUGACAACCGCGGAGGAGGCUCCCGAUUUUAUCGUAAUUGAUAUCAAUUAUUCCUUAAGUACAAUGUAUUAGGUAUUCAGCAAAUAAAAUAUAUGAUUUCUCAAAAGAA